rnacentral:lncRNA from 1 species
UUGUUCCUUGGCUCGAUCUCGGUAUUUGAUCGGUCUCUGGGUCUCGAGCUCGAGCUUGACUUGACCUCGGUAUUUGAUCGGUAUCUGAGUCUCGAGCUCGACCUUCCAACUUCACAUCACAGCUCGAUAUUAUAAUGAUGAACCUCGGUCCAUUAUGCUCCGGUCCUGAUUAGUCGCACGAAGAACAAACUCGAUUUUGACCGUAUACCCAAACCAAAAAAUGGAAGAUGCACGGAAAAAACUAGAAGUAGUUGAUACCUUGGUUACUAGAAGUUCGGAAAAUGGAAGCAGUGUUGAUGAGGUCACCACGCUAGGAAUCGCAUGGGCCAAUUGGUCGGCAAGAUUGGAGUCCGUUUGAUGUUUGGGUCCAUGUCUUUUCCAGUUCCAAAUUUUUGCAUCACACCUAGUAGAAUAUAGGAAUCGUGCAACAUACUUCAAGUACUACUCCCUUUAUAUAUUGUGAAUGAUUAAAAGGCGCC